UACGUAGGGUGCGGACGUUAAUCGGAAUUACUGGGCGUAAAGCGUGCGCAGGCGGUUCGUUGUGUCGGCGGUGAAAGCCCCGGGCUUUAACCUGGGAAUGGCCGUUGAAACUGGCGAACUGGAGUGUGGCAGAGGGGGUGGAAUUCCGCGUGUAGCAGUGAAAUGCGUAGAGAUGCGGAGGAACACCGAUGGCGAAGGCAGCCCCCUGGGCUAACACUGACGCUCAGGCACGAAAGCGUGGGGAGCAACAGG
rnacentral:rRNA from 1 species